UGAGGAAUCUUGCGCAAUGGGCGAAAGCCUGACGCAGCGACGCCGCGUGGAGGAUGAAGGUCUUCGGAUUGUAAACUUCUGUUAAACGGGACGAAAGACGCAAGUCAAAUAAACUUGCGGGAUGACGGUACUGUUAAAGAAAGCACCGGCUAAACUCGUGCCAGCAGCCGCGGUAAUACGAGUGGUGCAAGCGUUAUUCGGAGUGAUUGGGUGUAAAGGGUGCGCAGACGGCGCGUUAAGUCAAUCGUUAAAUUUCCCGGCCUAACUGGGAGCAAGCGGUAGAUACUGGCGUGCUUGAGGAUGGAAGAGAGGAGUGGAAUUCUCGGAGUAGCGGUAAAAUGCGUAGAUCUCGAGAGGAACACCAAUGGCGAAAGCAGCUCCUUGGUCCGUUUCUGACGUUCAGGCACGAAAGCGUGGGGAGCAAACAGG
rnacentral:rRNA from 1 species